rnacentral:rRNA from 1 species
GACGAACGCUGGCGGCGUGCUUAACACAUGCAAGUCGAACGGAAAGGCCCUGCUUUUGUGGGGUGCUCGAGUGGCGAACGGGUGAGUAACACGUGAGUAACCUGCCCUUGUCUUUGGGAUAACUUCAGGAAACUGGGGCUAAUACCGGAUAGGAGCUCCUGCUGCAUGGUGGGGGUUGGAAAGUUUCGGCGGUUGGGGAUGGACCCGCGGCUUAUCAGCUUGUUGGUGGGGUAGUGGCUUACCAAGGCUUUGACGGGUAGCCGGCCUGAGAGGGUGACCGGCCACAUUGGGACUGAGAUACGGCCCAGACUCCUACGGGAGGCAGCAGUGGGGAAUAUUGCGCAAUGGGCGGAAGCCUGAUGCAGCAACGCCGCGUGCGGGAUGACGGCCUUCGGGUUGUAAACCGCUUUCGCCUGUGACGAAGCGUGAGUGACGGUAAUGGGUAAAGAAGCACCGGCUAACUACGUG